GACGAACCGUGCGAACGUUGUUCGGAAUCACUGGGCUUAAAGGGCGCGUAGGCGGCUCCGCAAGUCGGGGGUGAAAUCUUUCGGCUUAACCGGAAAAGUGCCUCUGAUACUGCGGAGCUCGAGGGAGGUAGGGGCGGACGGAACUUCCGGUGGAGCGGUGAAAUGCGUUGAUAUCGGAAGGAACGCCCGUGGCGAAAGCGAGUCCCUGAACCCUUUCUGACGCUGAGACGCGAAAGCCAGGGGAGCGAACGGG
rnacentral:rRNA from 1 species